rnacentral:tRNA from 1 species
AGAGGCGUGGCGGAAUGGUAAUCGCACUGGUCUGCUAAGCCAGGGAGCAGUUUGUCUCGUGUGGGUUCGAGUCCCACCGCCUCUG